UACGUAGGUGACAAGCGUUGUCCGGAUUUACUGGGCGUAAAGAGCGCGCAGGCGGUCGAUCAAGUCGAGUGUGAAAGCCCCCGGCUCAACUGGGGAGGGUCAUUCGAUACUGAUCGACUCGAAGGCAGGAGAGGGUAGUGGAAUUCCCAGUGUAGUGGUGAAAUGCGUAGAUAUCGGGAGGAACACCAGUGGCGAAGGCGACUACCUGGCCUGUUCUUGACGCUGAGGCGCGAAAGCUAGGGGAGCAAACGGG
rnacentral:rRNA from 1 species